rnacentral:rRNA from 1 species
CAAUAGCGUAUAUUAAAGUUGUUGCAGUUAAAAAGCUCGUAGUUGGAUUUGUGGCGUACGGUGGGUUCCGGGCACUUGUUGUCUGAGUAACUUGCUGUUGCCAUCAUUGGGUGGAACCUGUGUGGCAUUAGGUUGUCGUGCAGGGGAUGCCCAUCAUUUACUGUGAAAAAAUUAGAGUGUUCAAAGCAGGCUUAUGCCGUUGAAUAUAUUAGCAUGGAAUAAUGAGAUAGGACUUUUUUGCUAUUUUGUUGGUUUGCGCAAAGAGGUAAUGAUUAAUAGGGACAGUUGGGGGUAUUCGUAUUCCAUUGUCAGAGGUGAAAUUCUUGGAUUUUUGGAAGACGAACUACUGCGAAAGCAUUUACCAAGGAUGUUUUCAUUAA